rnacentral:rRNA from 1 species
CGGACGGGUGAGUAAUGCUUGGGAAUCUGGCUUAUGGAGGGGGAUAACUACGGGAAACUGUAGCUAAUACCGCGUAGUAUCGAGAGAUGAAAGACUGGGACCGCAAGGCCAGUUGCCAUAAGAUGAGCCCAAGUGGGAUUAGGUAGUUGGUGGGGUAAAGGCCUACCAAGCCGACGAUCUCUAGCUGGUCUGAGAGGAUGACCAGCCACACUGGAACUGAGACACGGUCCAGACUCCUACGGGAGGCAGCAGUGGGGAAUAUUGCACAAUGGGGGGAACCCUGAUGCAGCCAUGCCGCGUGAAUGAAGAAGGCCUUCGGGUUGUAAAGUUCUUUCGGUGAUGAGGAAGGCGGUUGUUUUAAUAGAACAAUCGAUUGACGUUAGUCACAGAAGAAGCACCGGCUAACUCCGUGCCAGCAGCCGCGGUAAUACGGAGGGUGCGAGCGUUAAUCGGAAUGACUGAGCGUAAAGGGCACGCAGGCGGUAACUUAAGUGAGAUGUGAAAGCCCCGAGCUUAACUUGGGAAUUGCAUUUCAUACUGGGUUGCUAGAGUAUUUUAGGGAGGGGUAGAAUUCCACGUGUAGCGGUGAAAUGCGUAGAGAUGUGGAGGAAUACCGAAGGCGAAGGCAGCCCCUUGGGAAUAUACUGACGCUCAUGUGCGAAAGCGUGGGGAGCAAACAGGAUUAGAUACCCUGGUAGUCCACGCUGUAAACGCUGUCGAUUUGGGGAUUGGGCUUUGUGCUUGGUGCCCGUAGCUAACGUGAUAAAUCGACCGCCUGGGGAGUACGG